GGAUGCGAUCAUACCAGCACUAAUGCACCGGAUCCCAUCAGAACUCCGAAGUUAAGCGUGCUUGGGCGAGAGUAGUACUAGGAUGGGUGACCCCCUGGGAAGUCCUCGUGUUGUUAAGC
rnacentral:rRNA from 1 species